rnacentral:rRNA from 1 species
UACGUAGGGGCCUAGCGUUGUCCGGAUUUAUUGGGCGUAAAGAGCUCGUAGGCGGUUUGGUAAGUCGGGUGUGAAAUCUCCACGCUCAACGUGGAGGGGCCACCCGAUACUGCCAUGACUGGAGUCCGGUAGGGGAGUGUGGAAUUCCCGGUGUAGCGGUGAAAUGCGCAGAUAUCAGGAGGAACACCGGUGGCGAAGGCGGGUCUCUGGGCCGUAACUGACGCUGAGGAGCGAAAGCGUGGGGAGCGAACAGG